AGUCACUGACAUUAGAUACCCGGGUAGUCCCAGCCGUAAACUAUGCGCGUUAGGUGUAUCGGUGACCACGAGUUACCGAGGUGCCGAAGGGAAACCGUGAAACGUGCCGCCUGGGAAGUACGGUCGCAAGGCUGAAACUUAAAGGAAUUGGCGGGGGAGCACAACAACGGGUGGAGCCUGCGGUUUAAUUGGACUCAACGCCGGACAACUCACCGGGAACGACAGCAAUAUGUAGGCCAGGCUGAAGACCUUGCCUGAAUCGCUG
rnacentral:rRNA from 1 species